CUCACUUUGACUGAAGCAAUGCCCAUUCAGUGUUUAAAGAUAGGUUGCCAAAGUGUCUUCAUCCAUAAAAGGAAGACAGCACUGAAGUUUGGAGAAGUCUAGUGAGUGGUCCAAGGCUCUCUACCAGAAGAACUACGGACAGAGGUUCACAAUAUUAUGUAGGAGGCAGCAGCAUUCCAAAGAAAAAGAAGAGUAAGAAAGCAAAACGGCUGU